rnacentral:rRNA from 1 species
GAUGAACGCUGGCGGCGUGCCUAAUACAUGCAAGUCGAACGCUUCACUUCGGUGAAGAGUGGCGAACGGGUGAGUAAUACAUAAGUAACCUGGCAUCUACAGGGGGAUAACUGAUGGAAACGUCAGCUAAGACCGCAUAGGUGUAGAGAUCGCAUGAACUCUAUAUGAAAAGUGCUACGGGACUGGUAGAUGAUGGACUUAUGGCGCAUUAGCUGGUUGGUAGGGUAACGGCCUACAAAGGCGACGAUGCGUAGCCGACCUGAGAGGGUGACCGGCCAGACUGGGACUGAGACACGGCCCAGACUCCUACGGGAGGCAGCAGUAGGGAAUUUUCGGAAAUGGGGGAAACCCUGACCGAGCAACGCCGCGUGAAGGAAGAAGUAAUUCGUUAUGUAAACUUCUGUCAUAGAGGAAGAACGGUGGAUAUAGGGAAUGAUAUCCAAGUGACGGUACUCUAUAAGAAAGCCACGGCUAACUACGUGCCAGCCGCCGCGGUAA